UGGGGAAUUUUGGACAAUGGGCGCAAGCCUGAUCCAGCAAUGCCGCGUGCAGGAUGAAGGCCUUCGGGUUGUAAACUGCUUUUGUACGGAACGAAAAGCUUCUGGUUAACACCUGGGAGUCAUGACGGUACCGUAAGAAUAAGCACCGGCUAACUACGUGCCAGCAGCCGCGGUAAUACGUAGGGUGCGAGCGUUAAUCGGAAUUACUGGGCGUAAAGCGUGCGCAGGCGGUUAUGUAAGACAGAGGUGAAAUCCCCGGGCUCAACCUGGGAACUGCCUUUGUGACUGCAUGGCUAGAGUGCGGCAGAGGGGGAUGGAAUUCCGCGUGUAGCAGUGAAAUGCGUAGAUAUGCGGAGGAGCACCGAUGGCGAAGGCAAUCCCCUGGGCCUGCACUGACGCUCAUGCACGAAAGCGAGGGGAGCAAACA
rnacentral:rRNA from 1 species